GAUGAACGCUAGCUACAGGCUUAACACAUGCAAGUCGAGGGGAAACGACAUCGAAAGCUUGCUUUUGAUGGGCGUCGACCGGCGCACGGGUGAGGAACGCGUAUCCAACCUGCCCAUCACUUGGGGAUAACCUUGCGAAAGUAAGACUAAUACCCAAUGAGAUCUCUAGAAGACAUCUGAAAGAGAUGAAAGAUUUAUCGGUGAUGGAUGGGGAUGCGUCUGAUUAGCUUGUUGGCGGGGUAACGGCCCACCAAGGCAACGAUCAGUAGGGGUUCUGAGAGGCAGCUCCCCUACAUUGGAACUGAGACCCGGUCCAAAACCCUACGGGAGGGAGGAGUGAGGAAUAUUGGGCACGGGGCGCGAGCCUGAACCAGCCAAGUAGCGUGCAGGAAGCCGGCCCUCUGGGUUGUAAACUGCUUUUAUAAGGGAAUUAAGUGAGAGUCGUGACUCUUUUUGUAUGUACCUAAUGAAUAAGGACCGGCUAAUUCCGUG
rnacentral:rRNA from 1 species